rnacentral:rRNA from 1 species
UACAAAGGUCCCAAGCGUUGUUCGGAUUCACUGGGCGUAAAGGGUGCGUAGGUGGUGAGGUAAGUCGGAUGUGAAAUCUCCAAGCUCAACUUGGAAACUGCAUUGGAAACUACCUUGCUAGAGGAUUUGAGGGGGGAUUGGAAUACUUGGUGUAGCAGUGAAAUGCGUAGAUAUCAGGAGGAAUACCGGUGGUGUAGACGGCUCUCUGGACCGCCACUGACGCUGAGACACGAAAGCGUGGGUAGCAAACAGG